CUUUCUCUCUUUCUCCACGAGCACACAAACCCACUUUCUUUUCUUCUUCCCCUUCUCUCCAUUAUUUUAUCCCUAAAUUCUUAGAUUUAUCGAUGGCUUCCUUUGUUGUUAGGGCCAUUUUUCGAUCCUCCUCCAGCAAGGUUGCAAUUUUUCUGAGCGCCGGAGCUAGAGCAGCUUCGACUCAUUCACCAUUUCGUGCAUUGCUUUGAAACGAACUUUCUCUUAGUGCUCUUUUAGGUAUUUCCUCGCAAGGCUUCGACUUCGACAAAAUCUUUUCCAUAUAAUUUGAUUGUGGAAACUGAGCGUGUGAGUUGAGUUUAGUUAAGAUGCCAACAAACUGAGUUUUCUUUUCACUCAUCGAUCGUGGUGAACUAGGGACAUUUGGUUAUUGCUGUGAUUUGUUAGGAUGAAGAAGGCCUUUGAUCAAACUGUUAGAGACUUAUGUAGGAAAGCCAACUGCAAGAUUGGAUAAAGUUACAAUUCGUGAUGGAAGUUGCAAGUGGGAAACAUCGGUCUAUGAAAUGGUCAAGUUCGUGCGAGACACAAAAUCUGGGAAAAUCAACGAGAAAAUCUAUUAUUUCCUACUAUCGAUUGGACGAGCAAAAUCCAGAGUGUUUGGGGUGGUUUCUAUCAACUUAGCUGAUUAUGCCGAUGCUACAAAAUCUUCUUCUGUUUCUCUUCCCCUAAAGAAUUCAAAUUUUAUUUUUAUUUUGUUGUUUCUGCUGUUUUGUCAUAGGUGGAUAUAUAUUCGAUCACUUCUUAGACAAUAACUCCUGUAUUUGAAGCCAAGUUAAUCUAUAAGGUCAUUGAGUUUCAAGCUUUUUUAGUUAAGUUUGUGUUUCUUGAACUAGAAUUGUAGUCUUGUGAUUUUUGGAAUAGCAUAGUUGGAUUGGUUUUGUAAUUUUGAAAUCAUCAUAUUAGGUUGGGUUGAUAGAAAUAAUGUUUUGUAUAUGACAAUACCGAACAAAUAUGUAAAAUUUUUGAAAUGUCGAUGCA